AGAGUUUGAUCCUGGCUCAGGAUGAACGCUGGCGGCGUGCCUAACACAUGCAAGUCGAACGAUGGCAGCAAUGUCAUAGUGGCGCACGGGUGAGGAACACGUAGCUAACCUGCCCCCAAGUACGGGAUAACGUCUCGAAAGGGAUGCUAAUACCGUAUAAGCUCACGCUGAGCAAGUAGGUGUGAGAAAAGGUUUACUGCUUGGGGAGGGGGCUGCGGCCCAUCAGGUAGUUGGUGAGGUAACGGCUCACCAAGCCGACGACGGGUAGGGGGUCUGAGAGGAUGGCCCCCCACACUGGGACUGAGACACGGCCCAGACUCCUACGGGAGGCAGCAGUGAGGGAUAUUGCGCAAUGGGGGAAACCCUGACGCAGCGACGCCGCGUGGGUGAUGAAGGCCUUCGGGUCGUAAAACCCUUUUGCCACUGACGAGACAAGGACGGUAGGUGGCGAAUAAGCCUCGGCUAACUACGUGCCAGCAGCCGCGGUAAAACGUAGGAGGCGAGCGUUAUCCGGAGUUACUGGGCGUAAAGCGCGCGCAGGCGGUACGUUAAGUGGGUCGUGAAAGCCCCGUGCUAAACACGGGGAGGACGAACUAUACUGGCGAACUAGAGUGGAGCAGAGGGACAUGGAAUUCCGGGUGUAGCGGUGAAAUGUGCAGAUAUCCGGAGGAACACCAGAGGUGAAAACGGUGUCCUGGGCUCACACUGACGCUGAGGUGCGAAAGCGUGGGGAGCGAACGGGAUUAGAGACCCCGGUAGUCCACGCUGUAAACGAUGCCAACUGGAUGCCUGUUUCCCGAAAGGGAAGUGGGUGUCGGAGCUAACGCGGUAAGUUGGCCGCCUGGGGAGUACGGUCGCAAGGCUAAAACUCAAAGGAAUUGACGGGGGCCCGCACAAGCAGCGGAGCGUGUGGUUUAAUUCGAGACUACACGAAGAACCUUACCUGGGUUUGACAUCACGGUGGUAGGGACCUGAAAGGGAACCGACCGCAAGGAGCCGUGACAGGUGCUGCAUGGCUGUCGUCAGCUCGUGUCGUGAGAUGUUCGGUUAAGUCCGAAAACGAGCGCAACCCUCGGGGGAAGUUACACGUGUCUGACCCGACUGCCUGCGAGAAGCAGGAGGAAGGUGGGGAUGACGUCAAGUCAGCAUGGCCUUUAUAUCCAGGGCUACACACACGCUACAAUGGGCGGUACAGUGGGAAGCGAAGACGUGAGUCGGAGCGGAUCCAAAAAGCCGUUCGUAGUUCGGAUUGCAGGCUGCAACCCGCCUGCAUGAAGCUGGAGUUGCUAGUAACCGCAGGUCAGCGAUACUGCGGUGAAUACGUUCCCGGGCCUUGUACACACCGCCCGUCACGUCAUGGGAGCUGGUCACGCCUGAAGCCGAUGAGCGAACCGCAAGGGAGCAGUCGUCGAAGGCAGGGCUGGUGACUGGGACGAAGUCGUAACAAGGUA
rnacentral:rRNA from 1 species